AUUGAACGCUGGCGGCAGGCCUAACACAUGCAAGUCGAACGGUAACAGGAAGCAGCUUGCUGCUUUGCUGACGAGUGGCGGACGGGUGAGUAAUGUCUGGGAAACUGCCUGAUGGAGGGGGAUAACUACUGGAAACGGUAGCUAAUACCUCAUAACGUCGCAAGACCAAAGAGGGGGACCUUCGGGCCUCUUGCCAUCGGAUGUGCCCAGAUGGGAUUAGCUAGUAGGUGGGGUAACGGCUCACCUAGGCGACGAUCCCUAGCUGGUCUGAGAGGAUGACCAGCCACACUGGAACUGAGACACGGUCCAGACUCCUACGGGAGGCAGCAGUGGGGAAUAUUGCACAAUGGGCGCAAGCCUGAUGCAGCCAUGCCGCGUGUAUGAAGAAGGCCUUCGGGUUGUAAAGUACUUUCAGCGGGGAGGAAGGGAGUAAAGUUAAUACCUUUGCUCAUUGACGUUACCCGCAGAAGAAGCACCGGCUAACUCCGUG
rnacentral:rRNA from 1 species